rnacentral:rRNA from 1 species
ACUCCUACGGUAGGCAGCAGUGGGGAAUAUUGCACAAUGGGGGAAACCCUGAUGCAGCCAUGCCGCGUGUGUGAAGAAGGCCUUCGGGUUGUAAAGCACUUUCAGUUGUAGGAAAGGUUGGUAGUUAAUACCUGCCAGCGUGACGUUAACAACAGAAGAAGCACCGGCUAACUCCGUGCCAGCAGCCGCGGUAAUACGGAGGGUGCGAGCGUUAAUCGGAAUUACUGGGCGUAAAGCGCACGCAGGCGGCUUGUUAAGCUAGAGGUGAAAGCCCCCGCUCAAACGNGGG